rnacentral:rRNA from 1 species
AUUGAACGCUGGCGGCAUGCCUUACACAUGCAAGUCGAACGGUAACAGGUCUUCGGAUGCUGACGAGUGGCGAACGGGUGAGUAAUACAUCGGAACGUGCCUAGUAGUGGGGGAUAACUACUCGAAAGAGUGGCUAAUACCGCAUGAGAUCUACGGAUGAAAGCAGGGGAUCGCAAGACCUUGUGCUACUAGAGCGGCCGAUGGCCGAUUAGGUAGUUGGUGGGAUAAAAGCUUACCAAGCCGACGAUCUGUAGCUGGUCUGAGAGGACGAUCAGCCACACAGGGACGGAGACAAGGCGCAGACUCCUACGGGAGGCAGCAGUGGGGAAUUUUGGACAAGGGGCGAAAGCCUGGUCCAGCAAUGCCGCGUGCAGGAUGAAGGCCUUCGGGUUGUAAACUGCUUUUGUACGGAACGAAAAGCCCCGGGUUAAUACCCUGGGGUCAUGACGGUACCGUAAGAAUAAGCACCGGCUAACUACUUGCCAGCCGCCGCAGUAA